GGCGUGUGUCACCACGCCUGUCUAAUUUUUGUAUUUUUAGUAGAGAUGGGUUUCACCAUGUUGGCCAGGCUGGUCUCGAACUCCUGACCUCAAGUGAUCCAUCAGCCUCAGCCUCCCGAAGUCCUGGGAUUACAGGCGUGAGCCACCAUGCCCCUGCCUGUCCCCGUUUUACAAAUGAGAUGACAGAUUCAAAGCAGUUCGGUACCUGCCCCAAAGCCACAAAGCCUGUGCUACUCUGCCCCCAAGACUUAGUGGUUUCCAGGCUGUUCCUGGCUCAGCUAGCUAGCUGUGUGACCUUGGGCAAGUCCAUUUGCCUCUCUGAGCCUAUCUACCUCCCCUGUAUAAUGGGUCUGGUAGUCUUCACCUACCUCACCAGCUGCUGUGGGGCUCCAACAAGAUGGUGACUGUGAAAGCACUUGACAAACUGAAGGCACUGGACAUGGCUUGUGGUCAGUGUGGCCUCAACCCAGAAGUCCAGUGAUUUCCAGGGCACAGGGGCUUUGAGUGGGGCCAAAGAAGACACCCUCAUCCAACUGGGAGCCACCCCUGGGUCACAAACACUCCAUUGCUUGGUCAUUGCUUGGUCCCUCGCAGUAGCUCAAGGUCAGAAGAUGACUGCCCCUUGCUCAGAGCGGGGAGGUGGGGCUGGCAGCACAGCAAGGACAUCAUUGUCCUCCCUGUUGCACAUUUCAAUUGAGGCAGGUUUACAGCCCCUCAGCGUCUAUCCGGAGGGGGCCUGAGCAGCAGGCCUGGCAGCAUCCACUGCUCCUGCCUGAGGAGGUGCUAUCCAGCCCUGGCCGUGGACAUACAGUGAGAUUGUACAGCCAAGUCUGGAGCAGUUGCAGGGGAUAUGAUCUGGACAAGACUGAGCAGACCUAGGGAGCUCUACAGUGUAGGGCUUGUUCCUCAAGCUCAUGGUGAGAUCAGAGCCCUAAAGAGUUAGCCAGGGUGCAGCCACCAGUGUGGAAAUCCAGGGAUGGUGCAGGCCAUGGCCAGCUCUUCCCAACUCAGGUCUGAGAACCAGGGGUCUGAGCCCCUCUAUCAGCCCCAGGAAACCCUCAGGCAUUUGGUGCUGAUCAGCGAUAGGGCUCUGGUUCAGAGGAUGAGGGCCAGGGGCUCCUCUGGGGAGAGGGGCCAGCUGCAUUCUGCCCCACCCUGAGAGUGAGGAGGGGGCAGUCUCCAGGAACGGGCCCACCUGGUGCUGAGGAUGGACAUAACAGUUCUCCCUCUGAGGCUUGCAUUUCAUCUCUCAUGGCAAGAUCACUUUCAGGCUUACAGUUUCUCAUCUUUGCAACAGUCAGGGAAAAGAAACCUACAAAAUAGCUCCCAUUUCACAGAGGAAGAAACUGAGAGCCAGAGCUAGGGAUCUCUGAUAUAGCCAUGGGAUCCCCCACCCCACGCUGGCUCUAUAUGACUCUGUGGUCGUGGCUAAUGUCCAUCAGUCGCCCCCUGCUCCCCUCCCUGGCUGUUUGCCCCCAAAUGGGGCAGUGGUGGGAGUAUGUCCUGGAGGAGGGGGAAGUGGGAUACAGGUAGUACUUGGCUGACUUCACAAUUUUGCCACACUCAGUCUGGGCCUCCUGACAGUGGCGUGGGAUCCCUAUGGCUUCCCUGUUUGUUUGUUUUUUUAGAUGGAGUCUCGCUCUAUUACCCAGGCUGGAGUGCAGUGGUGCAAUUUCCGCUUACUGCAACUUCUGCCUCCCAAGUGAGUCUCCUGUCUCAGCCUCCUGAGUAGCUUGGACUACAGGCACGCACCACCACUCCCAGCUAUUAAUUUUUGUAUUUUUAGUAGAGACGGAGUUUCACCAUGUUGGUUAGGAUGGUCUUGAUCUCUUGACCUCAUGAUCUGCCCACCUCAGCCUCCCAAAGUGCUGGGAUUACAGGUGUGAGCCACCACACCCAGCCAAUUUUUUUUUUUUUUUUUUUUUUUUUUUUUUUUUGAGAUGGAGUCUUGCUCCGUCUCCCAAGCUGGAGUGCAAUGAUGCGAUCUCACCUCACCGCAACCUCCGCCUCCUGGGUUCAGUGAUUCUCCUACCUCAGCCUCCUGAGUAGCUGGGAUUACAGGCACCCGCCAUUAUCCCCAGGUAAUUUUUGUAUUUUCGUAGAGAUGGGGUUUCACCAUGUUGGCCGCCUGGUCUUGAACUCCUGACCUCAGGUCAUCCGCCUGCCUUGGCCUCCCAAAUUGCUGGGAUUACAGGCGUGAGCCACUGCACCCGGCCCCGGUGGCUUCUUCCGACUUGAAACACAAAAUGUGGCCAGCUAGGGAUAGAGAGAAUUCUGACUUUCAACAUCGCUGAGCCAUGGCAUGGGCUGCUUCUGGGUAGUGAGCUCCCUAUCCUUAGGGUAGACACAGCCAUCCCUUGGGUCCUUCCUCCAGACCUUCCAGGUACAGCCCUUUGCUGCUCUUCCCUGCCUGCAAACCUUUGCCAGUUUCUGGGUUUCUUUAUCCAGGAUGUUCCAUCAGAUCUCUCUGCUUCCGGAAAGUCCUGUUCCACUGACCAUCUACUGUGUGCACAGGCUGUGCUGAGUGGUGCUUUGGAGGGGUGGGAGGGAGCUGGAACCUGGUGAUGGAGAGGAGUCAUAGCAUGAUGAAUAACUCAAGUCCACUGGGCACGUGCUAGGCACUGGGCAUUGUUCUAAGUGCAUGUCUUAUCUCAUUUAUUCCUCACAGCACGUAUGAGAUAAGCAAUGUUACUUAUGUCUAAGUAGCUUCCAGAUGACGAAAUCGAGGCUCUGGGAAGUGAAGCAACUUGCCUAAGGAAACACACAGGAUGGGCUAUGGAACCAGGAUUCGACCCCAAACGCAGUGACUUAGCACUCAAACAUCUACUGCAGUUAAAAUGCCUAGAGUGGGUGGCCUGGUCACUGGAGGUGAGGGUGGGGGCUGGGUAGUCUGAGAGCCAGGCAGGCCUUCGGGGUGAGGGGAGUGUUGGGGUGAGGAAACAUGUGAACAUGCCUCAGUCUUUGGAGAACUUGGUUACUGUUAACCUGAAUGUCACCACCCCUAACUCAAAGACUGGCACCAAAUGGAUUAUGGGUUCAAUAAAUGUUUGUUGAAUGAAUAAAUGAGCCCCAUUUGUAGAGGGGUAUCCACUGUG